UUGGUCAAAAAGUUCAUUUGGGUUUUCCCAUAACUUAUGGAAAACCCAAAUGAAGUUUUUGGCCAGUCCAAU
rnacentral:miRNA from 1 species